UGGCUCAGGAUGAACGCUGGCGGUAUGCUUUACACAUGCAAGUCGUACGAGAGUUUUUAACUCAAGUGGCGGACGGGUGAGUAACACGUAAGAAUUUGCCUUUAGAAGGGGGACAACAACUGGAAACGGUUGCUAAUACCCCAUAUGCUUUCGAGUGAAACGGUUUUUCCGCCUAAAGAGAAGCUUGCGGCUGAUUAGCUUGUUGGUAGGGUAAUGGCUUACCAAGGCGACGAUCAGUAUCUGGUUUGAGAGGACGAUCAGACACACUGGAACUGAGACACGGUCCAGACUCCUACGGGAGGCAGCAGUGGGGAAUUUUCCGCAAUGGGCGAAAGCCUGACGGAGCAAUACCGCGUGAGGGAUGAAUGCCUAUGGGUUGUAAACCUCUUUUUUCAGGGAGGAAUCAAUGACGUUACCUGAAGAAUAAGCAUCGGCUAACUCCGUGCCAGCAGCCGCGGUAAGACGGAGGAUGCAAGUGUUAUCCGGAAUCACUGGGCGUAAAGCGUCUGUAGGUGGUUUGAUAAGUCAACUGUUAAAUCUUGAGGCUCAACCUCAAAACCGCAGUCGAAACUAUUAGACUAGAGUAUAGUAGGGGUAAAGGGAAUUUCCAGUGGAGCGGUGAAAUGCGUAGAGAUUGGAAAGAACACCGAUGGCGAAGGCACUUUACUGGGCUAUUACUAACACUGAGAGACGAAAGCUAGGGUAGCAAAUGGGAUUAGAUACCCCAGUAGUCCUAGCUGUAAACAAUGGAUACUAGAUGUUG
rnacentral:rRNA from 1 species